UUUAUUAAAGCUGUAAGCGUUGAAAACAAAGGAGACUCUCCAACAACCAACGGCAGUUCUGCGUCUUCGAAAGAGAGGUUUUCCUUUAAAUAGCACAAUGAUGUUGCCUUUCAUAUUCCUGGCCUUAAUUCAGGCAACACAUGCUAAAAGUGCGAGUACAAAGUUUACAGUCUCAGGAGGCGGUUCAUUAGUCUCUGGAAAAUUGUCCAUGGACAUUCAUGUGGAAGCUAACAACGUACAGGUCCCCAGUUCGAUGACCAUCCCCACCAGCUCGAGUGGACCUGCGGCCGGAUCAACCCCA